CCUGUUUUGACUGACAGCAGGGGCCUUUCUCUCUUCUCCAGUCCUGUGUCCUAGAUCUUUUUUACCUGGAGAUGCCGGGACUAGAACCCAGGACCUUUGCUGUGCAAGGCACAUGCUCUGUCACGAAGCCAUGGUCUGUCCCCAAAUGGAUUAGCUUUGAGAUAAGACAGUAUAUUACCAUAUUAGUCCUCCCUGCCCCCAGCAUCCUCUUCAUUUUCAGCUGCUUUUUGUGUGUUUAGUUCCUCUCCCCAUUCCUUUCCAGCAGCUACUGGAAAACACUGGACAUUCGGCAGUCCCUGAAAAGACGAUGCAAAGACCCCGUCGGAGUCUCUACAAAUCUCGAAGAAAGGAACAUGCCUGGCUGGAUGCAGCCAGCAAGCGAAGACUGGGGGAUCCUGCCAAAAGCCAAAAGCCCCAUGCCAAAAGCCAGGCAUCCAUUAGAAAAGAAGAAGGCAGAUGAAGACACUGAUUCUGGAGCCAAUUUUGAAUUCCCUGAAAUUGAUGCAACGUACUCGCUUCUCAGCUUCCCCUGCUCCACAUUCUUCCUGGAAGAAAACGACAGACCCUCGGAGGAGCCAGUCCCAUCCCAGAUUCCACCUGGGUUGCUAUCUCAAGUUACUGGACCUCAGUGAGGAGAAUCCCCAUCUUACAGACAAAGAACUCUGACUUCCGUUCGUUUUUAAAAAUAAUUUUAUAAGUUGUGUGUCCUUGUUGCUCAACUUGACCCUUUUACAUGAUUUUGUGCGUUUUGUGGUAUUUGUGCAUUGUGAUCUGCUGUUAUUUUAUUGAUUAUAGAUUAGUAAUUCUUUAUUGUAAUUGAUAAGUGUGAACUGCUAGAUUAUUAUUUGCUGAUGUUUAAUUUUACUGUUUAGUAGUGGAUCCUAAUGGAUUGUUGAGUAUUGCUUUAUUUGAUAUGUUGUUUAUUUUAAAGCUAUUGUGGCUUUUUAUAUAGGAUCUGUUUGUUACUAUUAAUUUUUUGAUGUUUUAUUAUUAUUUUUAUGUGUGUUGGAAGCUGCCCAGAGUGGCUGUGGCAACCCAGCCAGAUGGGUGGGGCAUAAAUAAUAAAUUUAUUAUUAUAUUAUUA